AGUGAACGCUGGCGGUAGGCCUAACACAUGCAAGUCGAACGGCAGCACAGUAAGAGCUUGCUCUUACGGGUGGCGAGUGGCGGACGGGUGAGGAAUACAUCGGAAUCUACUUUUUCGUGGGGGAUAACGUAGGGAAACUUACGCUAAUACCGCAUACGACCUACGGGUGAAAGCAGGGGAUCUUCGGACCUUGCGCGAUUGAAUGAGCCGAUGUCGGAUUAGCUAGUUGGCGGGGUAAAGGCCCACCAAGGCGACGAUCCGUAGCUGGUCUGAGAGGAUGGUCAGCCACACUGGAACGGAGACACGGUCCAGACUCCUACGGGAGGCAGCAGUGGGGAAUAUUGGACAAUGGGCGGAGGCAUGCUCCAGCCAUACCGCGUGGGUGAAGAAGGCCUUCGGGUUGUAAAGCCCUUUUGUUGGGAAAGAAAAGCAGCAGGUUAAUACCCCGCUGUUCUGACGGUACCCAAAUAAUAAGCACCGGCUAACUUCGUG
rnacentral:rRNA from 1 species